CUUGCUCCUGGAUUCAGCGGCGGACGGGUGAGUAAUGCCUAGGAAUCUGCCUGGUAGUGGGGGAUAACGUCCGGAAACGGGCGCUAAUACCGCAUACGUCCUGAGGGAGAAAGUGGGGGAUCUUCGGACCUCACGCUAUCAGAUGAGCCUAGGUCGGAUUAGCUAGUUGGUGGGGUAAAGGCCUACCAAGGCGACGAUCCGUAACUGGUCUGAGAGGAUGAUCAGUCACACUGGAACUGAGACACGGUCCAGACUCCUACGGGAGGCAGCAGUGGGGAAUAUUGGACAAUGGGCGAAAGCCUGAUCCAGCCAUGCCGCGUGUGUGAAGAAGGUCUUCGGAUUGUAAAGCACUUUAAGUUGGGAGGAAGGGCAGUAAGUUAAUACCUUGCUGUUUUGACGUUACCAACAGAAUAAGCACCGGCUAACUUCGUGCCAGCAGCCGCGGUAAUACGAAGGGUGCAAGCGUUAAUCGGAAUUACUGGGCGUAAAGCGCGCGUAGGUGGUUCAGCAAGUUGGAUGUGAAAUCCCCGGGCUCAACCUGGGAACUGCAUCCAAAACUACUGAGCUAGAGUACGGUAGAGGGUGGUGGAAUUUCCUGUGUAGCGG
rnacentral:rRNA from 1 species